rnacentral:rRNA from 1 species
AUUGAACGCUGGCGGCAGGCCUAACACAUGCAAGUCGAGCGGAUGAAGGGAGCUUGCUCCUGGAUUCAGCGGCGGACGGGUGAGUAAUGCCUAGGAAUCUGCCUGGUAGUGGGGGAUAACGUCCGGAAACGGGCGCUAAUACCGCAUACGUCCUGAGGUAGAAAGUGGGGGAUCUUCGGACCUCACGCUAUCAGAUGAGCCUAGGUCGGAUUAGCUAGUUGGUGGGGUAAAGGCCUACCAAGGCGACGAUCCGUAACUGGUCUGAGAGGAUGAUCAGUCACACUGGAACUGAGACACGGUCCAGACUCCUACGGGAGGCAGCAGUGGGGAAUAUUGGACAAUGGGCGAAAGCCUGAUCCAGCCAUGCCGCGUGUGUGAAGAAGGUCUUCGGAUUGUAAAGCACUGUAAGUUGGGAGGAAGGGCAGUAAGUUAAUACCUUGCUGUUUUGACGUUACCAACAGAAUAAGCACCGGCUAACUUCGUG